GAGGGCCUGCGUCUCGCUAUCUCUUCCCUCCGCCCUCCUGCUCUCCCGCCGUUGUAGAAAUUUCCCUCUCCCACGCGUCCUCCCGCUCCCGUGCACUUGUCACUGCGCCUAGCCCGCUCGCUCGCUCCCACUCCCGUACCCAUGUAUCCUCUCAACCGUGACCAGCCUGUGUCGCCACGUUAUUGCCUCUGCCUCGUCGCGCCAUGUACAGAGCGACCCCAUUCAACGACGGGUGAAGAAAUUGGGUUGUGGAAUGCAUCUGCAGAGAUUCCCCUUUCGCAGUUAGCGUCAGGAAGGCUAGAUCCGGAGGCACACCGCCCGGAGGGAGAGCUGGAACAAUCCAACGUCGAUUAGAUGCAUCGGGGUGUGCUUCCUCCCAUAAGAUUCGAAGUCCAAAUGCCAGAGGAUCUGACCAAUUCUACUCAAAUCGACGGGGAGGAGGCGUAGAUGGGUGAGAUGCUGAUUGCAAUGAUUAUAUUUUUUCUUGUUGAUUGUUCAUUUCGAACUCUGCAAUCUACAUUUGAUGUACGCUUUCGUUCAGUUCUUUAGAGCUAGCAAAAAUCUGUGUGUUUUUUGUAAUUGAUACGUUUAUAUGGUGUUCCAAAUGCACUCAUGCCGCUUAGGAUGUCUAAAAAGC
rnacentral:lncRNA from 7 species